ACCCCCGUAGCUCAGUUGGACAGAGCAUCGGAUUUCUAAUCCGACGGUCGCCCGUUCGAGUCGGGCCGGGGGUGCCA
rnacentral:tRNA from 1 species